rnacentral:rRNA from 1 species
CCUCGCGCAGUUGGUGCGGCUGAUAUCAGAUUAGCUUGAUGGUGAGGUAAAAGCUCACCAAGGCGACGUUCUGUAGCUGGUUUGAGAGAACGACCACCCACACUGGGACUGAGACACGGCCCAGACUCCUACGGCAGGCAGCAGUGGGGAAUUUUGGACAAUGGGCGAAAGCCUGAUCCAGGAAUGCCGCGUGGAGGAAGAAGGCCUUCGGGUUGUAAUCUGCUUUUGUACGGAACGAAACGGUCCGCUUUAAUACAGUGGGCUAAUGACGGUACCGUAAGAAUAAGCACCGGCUAACUACGUGCCAGCAGCCGCGGUAAUACGUAGGGUGCGAGCGUUAAUCGGAAUUACUGGGCGUAAAGCGUGCGCAGGCGGUUAUAUAAGACAGUUGUGAAAUCCCCGGGCUCAACCUGGGAAUUGCAUCUGUGACUGUAUAGCUAGAGUACGGUAGAGGGGGAUGGAAUUCCCCGUGUAGCAGUGAAAUGCGUAGUUAUGCGGAGGAACACCGAUGGCGAAGGCAAUCCCCUGGACCAGUACUGACGCUCAUGCACGAAAGCGUGGCGAGCAAA